rnacentral:rRNA from 1 species
UGGUCAAGUUAUUAAGGGUGCAGGGCGGAUGCCUUGGCACUAGGAGCCGAUGAAGGACGUGAUAAGCUGCGAUAAGCUUCGGGGAGUUGCACGUAAACUUUGAUCCGAAGAUUUCCGAAUGAGGAAACUCACUUAGAGUAAUGUCUAAGUAUCAUUAAGUGAAUACAUAGCUUAAUGAGGGGAACUCAGGGAACUGAAACAUCUAAGUACCUGAAGGAAGAGAAAGAAAUUCGAUUCCGUAAGUAGCGGCGAGCGAACGCGGAUUAGCCCAAACCAAUAAAGUUUUCUUUAUUGGGGUUGCGGACAUAUCAUAACGAAGAGGUAUCGUAAUUGAAGAGGUUUGGAAAGAUCCACCACAGAAGGUAAUAGUCCUGUAUGUUAAACGAGAAGACUUUAGAUAUGAUCCAGAGUACCACGGGACACGUGAAACCCUGUGGGAAGCAGGAGGGACCACCCUCCAAGGCUAAAUACUACCUAGUGACCGAUAGCGUAUAGUACCGUGAGGGAAAGGUGAAAAGAACCCCGGGAGGGGAGUGAAAUAGAACCUGAAACCCUGCACUUACAAGCUGUGGAAGCACAUUUCUUGUGUGACCGCGUACUUUUUGUAGAACGGGCCAACGAGUUACGUUAAGUAGCAAGGUUAAGCACUUAAGGUGCGGAGCCGUAGCGAAAGCGAGUUUUAACUGAGCGUUCAGUUACUUGACGUAGACCCGAAACCGGGCGACCUACCCAUGAGCAGGAUGAAGCGAAAGUAAAAUUUCGUGGAGGUCCGAACCCACGAGCGUUGAAAAGCUCGGGGAUGACUUGUGGGUA